rfam:Populus trichocarpa scaffold_1_contig_300, whole genome shotgun sequence.
UAAUCUGUUUAAAGCAAAUCCUCAUCUAGAUAUGACAGACUUACACCCGAUUGCAUAUAAUCACUUAUUAUCAUAAGCUUGACUACAUCAUCGACACUCAUAAGAUAUAUUUGAAAAAAAAUUAUAAAAUUAUAAU